rnacentral:rRNA from 1 species
GACAGAGGGUGCUAGCGUUGUUCGGAAUUACUGGGCGUAAAGGGCGCGUAGGCGGUCCGGUAAGCGCGUGGUGAAAGCUCGGGGCUCAACCCCGAGUCGGCCGUGCGAACUGCGGGACUGGAGCAGAUCAGAGGCAGGCGGAAUUCCGGGUGUAGCGGUGGAAUGCGUAGAGAUCCGGAAGAACACCGGUGGCGAAGGCGGCCUGCUGGGAUCUUGCUGACGCUGAGGCGCGACAGCGUGGGGAGCAAACAGG